rnacentral:misc_RNA from 1 species
UGUCAUGCCCACAGACCGACACAGACACAGACACAGAUACAGACAGGCGCUUGCUGUGCGGACAGGGCGUCAUUGACACGUGCGUGUGAGUGCGCUUGGCUGAUUCGGUCGAGGGGCGAGGGAACCUCCUCGGCACCUCCGCAAAGCGCCCGAAAGUCUGCCCUGGCUGACGGGCGACAGACGCUUGGGAGGAGAUGGAUAGCGUAUAUAGGAAUCCCCUCGCGGAAGACGAAGAGGUGCUUGCCUCUCUGACCCCGGCGGACUCGGCGCAGCCGCAGCAGCCCGCCAGCCGACAGCCAGUCUCCGUAGCGCCUGCCACAACAGCCCUCUUGACCUCCGAGCCAGCGGAUGGCCAAGUCCAGUACGAGGCAGAGACUGCAGCGACCAACGAGCAGGGAUCGCUACGCCGUGAGAACUUCCUUGAGCACGCCAUGGCGAAGACGUCCGCAACACGGGCCGCUGAGGUACAGCUUACAGCACCUGAGGCCGACAAUGAAGAGGCAGUGGACGAGGCUGACGACGAUGACGACAGCAACAGUGGCGACGGCGACGAUGGUGCCUACGCAGCCGAGUACCGCAGCUUACUCUUUCGUGUGGCGGAAAUGGAGGCGCAGGAGCAGCAGCGAGCUCGCCAAGGCGGCUUCGCGUUGCGCAUGGCACAGCGGGAGACAAAGCUGAUGACGGAGGUGGCAGCACAGCAGCAGGCCUAUCUGGCGUCACAGGCACGGGGCGCGUCGUGUCUGCAUGCUAGUGGUGGCGCUACGGCCUCCACUAACGCAAGCGCGGAUUCUGAAAAGCAGAUGACUAUCUCUUCCGCCGGCGCUUGGCCGAGUGCCGAAGACCUCACGGCGGAUGUGGCGACAGAAGCUCGACUAGCAUGUUUGGCUCAUCGCAUGGAGCAUGCUCAGCUGCAGUAUCGCCGCUGCACCGAAGCGGCGGGGCUGCUGCGCUCCCACGCACGAUGGAUGCGUGCUGAGGCGGAGCGUCAGGAGAGAUGGACGGCGGAAACCGAGGAACUUUUGUACCGCCUACACGAGGACGCAGGCCUCGCUGACGCGGUGUCGGCCACCGCUGCGGGGCAAAGACAGGAGGAGCCCGACUGUACGCGUCCUUUGACCGCUUCCCCACUCGCUGCGUCUCCUCUGAACGACAUGUGGCAAAGGCAAACGAACGGCCUGACCACCCUCGGUGGAACUCUGGCGAAGGUGCACACGCUCUUCCGUGAUCCAGAGUGCUGCACCAACAUGUCCGUAGUUGCCACAGCGCUGACGGAGGUGGGACGCCGGUGCCAAUGCUUACUGCAGGAAUUGCAGGCUCUCACAGAAGCCGCACUGCAGACCGAAGCAGAUUUGCGGCAGCGUCGUGUGCACGCGCUGGAGUGGAGCCUCUUCGCGGCACACGCGCAGCAAGCGCUCGAGCUGCGAGACUUGUACUCGCCUGUGACCCUAGCUGAGAUGCGGGCGAUGGGACUGCGGAAGAUCUUGCUGCGCCGCCGGCAAGAGUUACAAACCGCGUUGACACUGGCCGUCCUGCGUAACGCGGAGAGGGCCGUAACUGGCGCUGGCCGUGCCGCCACUGCGUCUUGUUCUGCUCCUGUGCCACAGCCGUCGUGCAUCUUCACCUCACCGCCACACGAGGUGACACCGGAAAAGAUGAAAGCCGUCGCAGACACGUGCGCGCGGCACGAAGGGCUGCGUGACCGCUUGCUGAGAGAGCUUCUGUACCUGAAAAAGUGCGCGCGUCGCGUCCUCGGCGCAGCGUGGGUCUCGCAGACUGAGGCCACCGCAAUCGCUUCGCUGGCAGCCACGGCAGAUACCAGAGGGAACUCGCGCACGCUGGAGGCGGUGCUGGUGGAUAAUCUCCGUCGUGCAAGUUAUAACGGCCUGGCGCGCCUUAUCGCGUUUGUGGCAUCCACGCCGAAGCCACCGGACGAGCUAGACGACGCUGCCAGGGGCGACAUUAGUGACCCACACGAAGAUGUAGACGACGAAGGUAAAGCGCAGGAUGAAGGCGAUGGGCUCGCGCCGUUACCGCGCUCUCACUCAUCCGUGCCUGCGGCUUCGCUGGCCACCCGUGUCCAGGUUCUCUCUAUGCUGGAGGCGGUGCAGACGCGCGCCAACUCGCUUGUCUCUCUUCUCGCCGAAAACGCGAAACAUUGGCAGAGAACGCAGGAUGUUGUGGUGGAAGCGGAAGUGUGUGCCCAUUCCAGCGAAGAUGCCUGGUGCCGCACUGCUGAGUUGCUCCUGCGCCGGUGCAUGGAUGCGGAUGCCGCGGAGCCCUUGUCGAGCGACACACGCAGCGACGAUGCCAACUUGCACAACCCGCGCACCGCUCCUCUCCUGCUGCAGGAGCAGCAGCUGCUCGACAGCUUGCACGCCUCCCAGGCAACCAUCGUCGAGGCGAUAAAUGCCGCACUUGCGCAGGUACACCACAGGUGCAUGGCGCCUCUCGAGCGCGAGAAGCGGGAUGUUGCUCUACUGAUCCGGCUUCUGCAGCUCUGUGACGAAGCGGGUGAGUCGGAAUGCCAGCGCGGAGACGCGAGCAGCGCCGACGUACCCGUCACAAGCACCACACCAGAACUGGAAAGCGCUAUGCAGCUGCUAACGUGCGCCGAGGAUGACGAGCGUGAAAGCGAUGCCGUCGGCAAAGAUCGACUUCUAUCGCAGGUGCGCGUCCCACAGUUGCCGCUGCGCGUGGAUGCGAUUCAGGGUACCAUCAGCGCGCUCUCUGCCGAAUGGAAGAAUAGCCUUGUAGCCGAGACUGCGGAGGUUCGGGCGAAAUUCACAGAGACGCAGGCGAAGCUGGAUCAGUACGCUCAGUAUUCGAUGGCAGAGGUGCCGUCUCUGCUAGAGAAGGCCCUCGCCAAGGCCAAGGCGCUGCAGGAGCGCGCGGCCGAAUGCACCGCGCGCAACAGCAGUGCCGCUUCUCUCGCUGCCCAAAUCCAGCAGCAACGCAAGUUGCUGACCGACACCACGACAACGGAGCGGUACGCGCUGGCGGCUGCCAUGCAGCAGGCGCGACUCGAGGUGGAAGCGUUGCAAGCGCAGGUGGCUCAGCUGCAGAAACAGAAGGAUUUGUCUACCACAGAGACGCUCGACCGUUGCGAGGUAAGGAAGGCUGAAUCGGUUGCGUGGAAAUCCCUCCUACUAGAUGAUCCCGGGCAGCAUCAGGCGGUGAACGCCGACGGUGCAGGUGAUGGCGCGAUCAAGGAUGAGGACAGCGUUGACAUAAAGCAAGAGGCCUCCGACUCUCCUCCCGAAGUGACGACAGACGCGAAGGCGGAGACGGCUGAGAGGGAUCGGGAAGUGGGCGGAGGUGCAGCAAAGUCCGAGGUCGCGUCAGCGAAGCGAGAUGACGAAGCCGAGGGGCUCGAGAACACGAGGGAAGAGGAGGCGGAAGCAGGCGCAGAUGCCGCCGAAGGUGGUGACGAACAGGGGCAGCAGUUUGGCGAUGAGCCGGCGGAGGAGGUCGCCGCGGAAAGCGAGCCGGAAGAGCGCGACGGCGAUGCCCUCGCUUUUACCGCGAAGCGACCGAAUGAGGAAGGGGCAGAUAAGGAAGCUCAUCCGCUGCAAGUGCGCGAUGACGCCGGCGCCGAGGGCGAGGAGGCUGUGGGCGAGCACGACGCCGGUGAGGAGAUCCUCGACGAAAAGCAAGACAAUGCGCAAUCGAGAAAGGACGAACGCACUACACAAGAUCGCGUAGACGAGGCGCCACGUUGCACUACCGCGGCGGGCACCAACGAGUUGACAGAAGUGGUGCGGCAAGUGGAAGUGAAGGGCAAGAAGAAGAGCAGGAAGCGUCCCUCGAAGAAUGCGCAGCGUGAGGUGCAGCAGUGGCCGGGCCCGCACGCGCACCAGCAGCAGCAGCAGCCCAGUAUCCUUGGCGAGUACAUCCUCGGACACGUUGAGGCGGGGCAGCGACCGCCCGUUUUUGACACCGCAGCCAGUGACCUUUUCUCGCAUUACCCGCCUCCGUCCGUGUUUCCGACCGAGCCGUCAAACCGACCGGUUUAUGAUGACAACCCGUUCUACUCCGGCUUUGGCUUUGAGGAGGAGUAGUUGAGCACCCGUGUGCAGCUCUUCUGCUGUCUUUGAGCAGUUUCGCCUCUCCCUCGUCUGUGUGUGCGCCGUUUUGGCUUGAUGACUCAUCCUGCACACACCCGCCCUCCCCCCCCCAUGCGCGUACCCUCCGCACCUCUUCACCCCCGCCCUCUGCCCCAUCCACUGCGCAUCCAUUGCGAUGCUUGCAGAAGCGCGGUUCUACGAGAACAAGUAGAGAUGGGGAGUAGGGCAAAGGAGGACGGAAACGAAUGCUGGCAUGGAGAACGUGCCGCGCAGAGCAGGGGAUUAUGCUUU